rnacentral:rRNA from 1 species
AGAAUCAACGCUGGCGGCGUGCCUCAGACAUGCAAGUCGAACGCGAAAGUCCCCUUCGGGGGGCAAGUAGAGUGGCGCACGGGUGAGUAACACGUAGGUAAUCUACCUUUGGAUGGGGAAUAACAACCGGAAACGGUUGCUAAUACCGCAUAAUGCAGCGGCACCUAAUGGUGACAGUUGUUAAAGCGGGGGGAUCGAAAAGACCUCGCGUCUGAAGAGGAGCCUGCGGCGGAUUAACUAGUUGGUAAGGUAACGGCCUACCAAGGCUACGAUCCGUA